GAUGAACGCUGGCGGCGUGCCUAAUACAUGCAAGUCGAGCGAACAGACGAGGAGCUUGCUCCUCUGACGUUAGCGGCGGACGGGUGAGUAACACGUGGAUAACCUACCUAUAAGACUGGGAUAAAUUCGGGAAACCGGAGCUAAUACCGGAUAAUAUAUUGAACCGCAUGGUUCAAUAGUGAAAGACGGUUUUGCUGUCACUUAUAGAUGGAUCCGCGCCGCAUUAGCUAGUUGGUAAGGUAACGGCUUACCAAGGCGACGAUGCGUAGCCGACCUGAGAGGGUGAUCGGCCACACUGGAACUGAGACACGGUCCAGACUCCUACGGGAGGCAGCAGUAGGGAAUCUUCCGCAAUGGGCGAAAGCCUGACGGAGCAACGCCGCGUGAGUGAUGAAGGUCUUCGGAUCGUAAAACUCUGUUAUUAGGGAAGAACAAAUGUGUAAGUAACUAUGCACGUCUUGACGGUACCUAAUCAGAAAGCCACGGCUAACUACGUG
rnacentral:rRNA from 1 species